rnacentral:rRNA from 1 species
UGGGGAAUCUUGCGCAAUGGGCGGAAGCCUGACGCAGCAACGCCGCGUGAGGGAAGACGGCCUUCGGGUUGUAAACCUCUUUCAGGGGGGACGAAGCCUCCGGGGUUAAUAGCCUACGGGGUGACGGUACCCCCAGAAGAAGCCCCGGCUAACUACGUGCCAGCAGCCGCGGUAAUACGUAGGGGGCGAGCGUUGUCCGGAAUCAUUGGGCGUAAAGCGCGUGUAGGCGGCUUGGUAAGUCCGGUGUGAAAUCUUGGGGCUCAACCCCAAGCCUGCACUGGAUACUGCCUCGCUUGAGUCCGGGAGGGGAGAGCGGAAUUCCUAGUGUAGCGGUGAAAUGCGCAGAUAUUAGGAAGAACACCGGUGGCGAAGGCGGCUCUCUGGAACGGUACUGACGCUGAGACGCGAAAGCGUGGGGAGCGAACA